UGGGGAAUAUUGCACAAUGGGCGCAAGCCUGAUGCAGCCAUGCCGCGUGUAUGAAGAAGGCCUUCGGGUUGUAAAGUACUUUCAGCGGGGAGGAAGGGAGUAAAGUUAAUACCUUUGCUCCUUGACGUUACCCGCAGAAGAAGCACCGGCUAACUCCGUGCCAGCAGCCGCGGUAAUACGGAGGGUGCAAGCGUUAAUCGGAAUUACUGGGCGUAAAGCGCACGCAGGCGGUUUGUUAAGUCAGAUGUGAAAUCCUCGGGCUCAACCUGGGAACUGCAUCUGAUACUGGAAAGCUUGAGUCUCGUAGAGGGGGGUAGAAUUCCAGGGGUAGCGGUGAAAUGCGUAGAGAUCUGGAAGAAUACCGGUGGCGAAGGCGGCCCCCUGGACGAAGACUGACGCUCAGGUGCGAAAGCGUGGGGAGCAAACAGG
rnacentral:rRNA from 1 species